GGCAGCGCAUGCGUGAGGCCUUCCUCCAGCGCUGCCAUUGAGGAGCAUUUACUCAGUGAGUGCAAAGAGGUUUGUUUGAAACAGACUCCAAGGAGAGAUCAGCAGGCUCCUUCCAGCAGCACAUUGAGAUGUGAGCCUGGGGCACAGAGAGGGCUCCGGACCGGGAUUGAUUCAGGCUGAAAAAUCUUCUGUCUUCUGCCAAGUAAAUAUUUGAAUGACGAAGACAAUGUCAUAUUUCCUUAGUGCAAAGUCAAGUGUGACCAGCUGCUUCUAGCAAACAGCAGGCAAAUGAUUGAUAGUACAAAGCCAAGCUGCUUCUAACAACCGGCAGACAAUUACAUGAAGGAGCAAGACAAUGUAACAUUCUCUCGGUACAAAACCAAGUGUGAUCAGCUCCUUCUAACAAACAACAGGGUAUGGGAAGAAGACUAUUUGCAAUGAGGAGACUUAAAAUGAAGCAUCACUUCCCAAUCUGCCGAGUUUAUUGUCGUCUGAAUAUCAUUGGGUUUUGCAGGAAAAAAAGCACUGUUCACAGUGGGGGAGAAACCGUAUGUGUGUUGUACAUGUGGAAAAGUCUUCAGCAGAUCAUCUGCCCUGUCACAAUAUAAAUACAGCCACACUGGGUAAAGGCCAUUAAUCUAUUUCAAGGGUGGAAAAGGAUUCACUCGAUCAUCCACCCUGCUGAAACCCCGGCAACUUCUCACAGAGAACAUACCUUUGAAAUGCUCACAAUGUGGGAGGUGCUUUAAAAACUCUGGGGCACUGAUAUCCCAACAACAUCCUCACUGUGAUGAGAGACCCUUCAUGUGCUCUCACUGUGGGUGUGGGUUCAAGCCAUCAUCCUACCUCAUUAAACACCAGCAGGUCCACGCUAGGGAGAGACCAUUCACCUGCUCACACUACGGGAAAGGAUUUUCUCAUAAAACACCAGCGAUCUCUCGGAAGUUAGAGGCUGUUCUGCUGCACGGACUGUGGGGAGAGAUUCAUUGUGAAAUCCAAGCUGCUGAAACACCAGCGUAUUAAUGUGAAAUGAUAGAGCCUGGUUUUUACCGUGAACAUCUCCCUGCUUCAUAGUCCCACCUGAUGUGGAGCUAUGUCAAAGAACUUAAUUAUUUUUGUAAUUGAUAACUGAAUAAUAUCCACUGGGGCAGGUUUCUGCUGAAGUUAAUGAACUCCAGCUCAGUUAAAGGGAUGACUACUCGGGAUGACGGAAAUAAAUGCACUUUGUAUUAAACGUAUUGUAACAACCCUA